rnacentral:rRNA from 1 species
UACGUAGGGUGCAAGCGUUGUCCGGAAUUAUUGGGCGUAAAGAGCUCGUAGGCGGUUUGUUAAGUCGAACGUGAAAUCCCUCGGCUUAACCGGGGAACUGCGUCUGAUACUGGAUGGCUUGAGUUCGGGAGAGGGAUGCGGAAUUCCAGGUGUAGCGGUGAAAUGCGUAGAUAUCUGGAGGAGGACCUGUGGCGAAGGCGGCAUCCUGGACGGGCGCUGACGCUGAGGAGCUGAAGGCAGGGGAGCAAACGGG